rnacentral:lncRNA from 1 species
AUGCUCCUCAACCUGUUCGCCGCCGGCGGCGGCGAGGAGGCCUCCUCCCUCCUCCCCGUCGACGCGCUCCGGCGGCACGGCGUCGCCGCCGUCGCCGAGUACCCGUGCAGCCACCGGCAUGGGCCGUCGCUCCCGCUCGCCACGGCCCGCGCGCUCCUCGCCACCUGCGUCGACUGGCUGAUCACCGACGGCCAGCGCAACGUCCUCCUCAUGCGCUGCGACCGCGGCGCGCGGCCGGCGCUCGCGCUCGCCAUGGCCAGCCUGCUGGUGUACAUGGAGGAGGAGCCCGCGCCGCCGGAGCUCGUGACGACGACGACCCUGGCGGCGGUGUACGGCAGGGCACCGGUGGCGCUGCUGCUCGCCGCCGGCUCGGCACUGAAUCCACGGCCCUCUCACCUGAGGUACCUGCAGUACGUGGCAAGGCUGAGGGGGAUGACGACGAGGCAUGGACCACCACCACCAUCGCCCCUCCUCGUCUUGGACUGCCUCAUCCUCAGACCUGUUCCAGAUUUUGAUGGCAAUGGGGGAUGCAGACCGGUUGUCCGAGUUCAUGGUCGCCGCGACGCCGCCGCCGACUACGACGGCGAUCGGGCCGAUGAUGCUUCACCCAAGAUCCUAGGACGGUGGCGGAUGGAGCCGACGGCGGAUGCAACAGGCGGGGCGGCGUCGGGCAAAGCGGCGGCGCACAAAGCCGGCAGCGCGGAGCGGGGUGGCAGCGAUGGAUUGCAUAGGACGGCGGCGGAUGGAGCCGGUGGCGUGCAGCUACCGGAGAGGGCGUGGGAGGGA